rnacentral:rRNA from 1 species
CAGUCGCCACGGUAAUACGAAGGGGGCUAGCGUUGUUCGGAAUUACUGGGCGUAAAGCGCGUGUAGGCGGGCUUUUAAGUCAGGGGUGAAAUGCCAAGGCUCAACCUUGGAACUGCCUUUGAUACUGGAAGUCUUGAGUCCGGGAGAGGUGAGUGGAACUGCGAGUGUAGAGGUGAAAUUCGUAGAUAUUCGCAAGAACACCAGUGGCGAAGGCGGCUCACUGGCCCGGAACUGACGCUGAGACGCGAAAGCGUGGGGAGCGAACGGGAUUAGAUACCCGCGUAGUCCCUGUCUCUUAUAC